rnacentral:lncRNA from 10 species
UAACUUGUCUGAUGCUGUCUGCCAAUGUCAUCCUCACCACUUGUGUCUUACAGAGAAGGAAAUGGGAGAGGGAGGUUGUGUCUUACAGAGAAGGAAAUGAGAGAGGGAGGUUGGUAGCAACAUCAGAGUGACAGUUGGCUGUCUCUCAUUUCUUGGGGUCAUCAGUCUGAUUUGUUUAGAGCCUGGGAUCAUCCCAGUUCCUGGAAGAAUCUUUGGAAAAGGGUCCCCUUGUUCUUGGGACAUGUGUCAUGGUCACUAAGCCCCCUUUCCCUCAGGCUACUGUUGCUCAGGGACACAAUGAGAUACCCCAAGGACAUCUAGACCUGACUUUUCAUGAACUCUCUUGCCUCUGUGGUCCCCACAUUGGAGACCUCCCUCCCUCCUCCUUCCCUUGUGUGAAGGAGACACCUCCCGAGCAAUCCUAACUCAUCCAGCUCACUUUUAACAAAGCAAAGAGCAGAGGGCACUGAAGACUGGAUGGCUGUGAAUGGUACACCUUGGGGUUGAAACCGUGUUGGCAGGAACCUGGUGAUAAAAGCUGCCUACUUCCUGGGUGUGUGAAUUUGCACAUAUCUUUUCCCCUCACUGGACUUCAGAAGCCUACUGUGAACUGGGGACGAUGCUAUCUACUUUCCCUCCUGAAGCCCUUCUAACUUUCAAAUGUAUGGUCCUGGGGCCAUGAGUCCUGCACAGAAACUGCAGCCUUGCCAGAUUGCUUCCCUUGGUGCAGAAAAGUGUGUGUGUGUGUGUGUGUGAAAUAUACGUACGGUUUUACGUCAAAAACAGUCGAAUAUCAGCUAUUUCAUAUGGUUCACCCUAAUGUACCUGCCUCUCUCUUUGGCUUUAGGUCUGAGAAUGACUUGUCUUUGUCAAGGUAUACUAUUGUUAGAAACGCAUUACCAAAUGCAUCUCUUCUGUCGGAUCAGCGUAUUCCUAGAUUAGGAAUUCAAAUUAAUGAAAAUUCACAUAUGAAAGGAAAAUCCAUUGCUAUUUCUGGAGAGGACCUCAGUCCUGGGCUUUUCCCUGGCAUUGCUACCUGGGUGGGUGCUCACCACUCAGGUGCUGGUGUUGGAAGGCAGGAGGAGGAAGCUGAAAUCCUGCCGAUUAAGGCUAAUUAACAGGGUUUAGGUGCCUAAUUAUCAUGACUCAGCCCGGGACUUAUGGUUAGCCGUGCAGGCCAGGUGAGUCUCUUAUGGACUUCCUCUCAGACUGCUCUUUCUCAUUUUGUCCUGAUGAGAUAUUGACAGUCAUGUCCACCCGCUUCCUCAUCCAUUUCCCGUCUUGGGCCCUGGAAGUACGGGGGCCUCUGUAGGCUGCCUAGGGAGCCCUGGCUUUGCUCUUCGUGUUGGGCUCACUCCAUGAUCAGGAGCCGGUGGGACUGGUCCUUCCUGAUUCUUACUGUCUGUGGUUCCCCAUCCCCUACGGGGAGCCUGCUUUGGGCCUUGAGCUGGAUAGAGAGAAGAGCUUUGGGGCCCAGCUGGUUAUAGGAGCUGAGCUUUUCCACACCUCUCUUUGUUAACCCUUGGAAACAGACCUGCCUUUCACCUGACCCAUCUUCCUACCUGUCUGGUCUGACCUGCCCUCUUUGAAAGCACUCAUCACCUAGUUUUACUAGGCUGAUUGGCAGAUGUGGACAUGACAGGUGUCUAUCGAGAUAGGUGUCUAACUAGUUAGGUGUCUCAGGAUUGGACAGCAGAAUACCAUUCCAGGGGUGCACAGACAGGCCUCUCCUACCGGAACAUGAGGGAUAGACGUCUGGGCAUUCUGAACCCAGAGGUCAGAGUAGUCACAAGCGGAGCCCUGGGGAGCGAGGGCCCCAGGGCCGUGGUGUUCCUUGCCCUGCGCUCACUGAAGUCCAAGGCCAGGUUUCAGAAAUAGUGUGCUGCCUGUUCCUGAGAUCCUUCACACCUGGACACCAACCCAGACAAAGCCUGACUUAAAAUUUUGAUACUGUAUUCAUCGUGGAAUUUUUCAAUAACUCUGAUUUUUAAAAAAUACUGCAUUGCAAUAUGAUUUACCUUGAUUACUGAGGCUCUUUUUUUUUUGGCACCCCUUUAAAUUUUAACCCAAGGUGAGGGCCUCACUCCACUCUAUACCCAGCCCUGCCUGCCCCUCACCUGGACCUGUGAGAGGGGCUUAGGUACCACUGUGAAAUACGUUUUAAAUUUUUACUUGCCCUUCCCCUCAGGUCCUGAGUGAGGCAGUGGCUCUCUGGCGGUGCUCGCAUUUAAAUAGGAGUGUGUAGGCUUACAGCAAUGAAACAUCUAGGAGCUUUUAACUUUGGAUCUAUACCUGGGUGUGACAUUUCCUUGGUGUUCUCUGGCUGCCUUUCUGGCUCUGCAGCCCUGAGGGCACUUGUGUGUGUGUGUGUUCUCUGGAGAAGGGAAGUGAUUAUGGCAGAGAGGCUCCUUUAGAUUCUCCUCUUAAACCUCUUUGGAACAUGUUUGAAUUCCAGAAGUGAAUGAACUUCAUUCAUUCUCUCGUCCAGAUUUCAGAAGGGACUAAAGUGAACGGAGGCUUUUUCACUCCCUGGCAUGCUAAGAGCCACAUUCCCUAGCUCUGUGCCUGCACAGUGAGUCUUCAGAAUUUGGCCCAUCACACCCUCUGCUAGUAUCGUUUCCACCACCCUCCUCAUCCUCUGUCAUCUUUAUUUCAUUCUCAUCGUUUAUCUCUACCUCCAGUUCAGAUGCCAUGCUGGCUGUGGCUCUUUUCUUCAUCACCAUCAGAGUGAGGCAAAGAUGUAUCCUGGCCUAGUUAUAAAGACGAAUAAUACAUGAUAAGAAAUCAUUAAUUUUUUUCCACGUGGGGGGCGGUGCUGUCCUAGUGAUUCAUAUAUAUAUAAUUUUUGACUCCUUACAAUAAUUCUGGGAUGUGGGUAUUACCCCCAUUUAAGAAUGUGGAAACCAAGGCUCUGAUGGCUCUGUAAUUUGCCCAGGGUCACACAGCUAGGAAGCAAGUUGCUGAUCUGCUUGGUUCCAAAGUCACCUCUCUUUUUCCUCUGAGCACAUUUCUAAGCCACUACUUAGAAGCUCUUGAGAUAAAGUUGGCCUAGCUCAGGUCCACCGAGGUUUUGAGAUUGCCCUUUGCCCAAGGAGGAGUUGUGUCCUUGGCUCACCUGUCAUCUGCCUGUGACUGGACUUGAACCCUCGCACGUCUCAGCUGACAUCCUUGAUGCUGCUGGCUGCCUUCCUCGCCCUGUUUCCUCUCCAUGACUCCAGGGGUUUGAAGCACACAGGAGCUGGACAUGUCAAUUCUGUAGCUCUUCUCCCAAUACCACUGAAGGCCGUGAGCCUCUCUCCUGUUUCCAGCCUGCAGGUGCCCUGUUGCUGCUCUUCAUUCCAGCUUCUCCUCACUUUUCUCUCAGUCUCUUGAGCUUGGAAGCCUUAUUGUAGCUUGUGUCUCCUCCCUGGGCACUUGAGGUCAGGCUUUUGCCUUUUUGUCACAUUGAGCCACAUGCCUUUGAUACACAGUUGUAGCAAAGAAGGGAGGUGAUGAACUUGCUCACUUUCUUUUCUGAUUUCCCUCCCUACUCAUCCUGCACUCCCCACCGAAACCCAGAUAUCUUAUAGUCUAAGGCUUGUAGAGGAUUAAGGAAAGGAAUUGGAGAUGGGUUUUACUUAGUUCACAGAAAAGCUUUCUUUGGGAUUUUUCCUCCCCCUUAGGGCUUUUAAGUCUAGGUGAAGUGAAAGUUCACACAUGUGUUUGUUUGGUUGCUCUGUAAUUAGCUACUAGUUUUUAUCCCUAGACCUUCUCUGCUCCAGUGUCUUGUUCAUGUGUCCUGACCCCGUGUCCUUGAAUUCCCACUUUGCUUUGGGAUUUAAGUUAUUGUAUGUUGUCAACAAUAUUUAAAGAUGAAAAAGUCCUGAAGGAAACUUACCAGGUUCUUUCCUUUGGCUUUUUUUUUUUUUUCUUUCGAGGUACUGUAAAUUGUUAACUAGGGAUGCCAAGCAGGCUUGGUUCAAUGGCUAAACCUCUUAUUGUAUUACAGUGUAAUGCUGAUCUCAGCCUGGUCUCAAUGCCAGAGCACACAGAGACUUGAAUAAAACUGUUAUAACGAUU